rnacentral:lncRNA from 1 species
UGCAGAGGUGCUGACGUGGUGGUACAGAGGUUGACGUGGCGGUGGUGGCGUGCGGUGGGCAUGUUGAUGUACGAUGCUGGAGGCUAGGGUUUCUGCCUCUUUUUUCUUUUGCUGAAAAUGUUUAGUUUUUGGGCCAUAUUAGGUUUGUAAGUUUAGGCUUGAUAUUUGGACUUUUUAUUUAUUUUUUGGUUUUAUUUAUUAUUUGUAUUUGGUCUUGGGCCCGGACUAAAUUGGGCCUAUUAUAGUUAUAAAGUGA